AGCAGCAUGGCGCAGUGGAAGCGCGCGGGGCUCAUAACCCCGAGGUCACUCGAUCGAAACGAGUUGCUGCUA
rnacentral:tRNA from 1 species